AUUGAACGCUGGCGGCAGGCCUAACACAUGCAAGUCGAACGAGUUGCGGACGGGUGUGUAAUGUCUGGGAAUAUGCCCGAUGGAGGGGGAUAAUUACUGGAAACGGAAGCUAAUACCGCAUACCAUCGGAUGUGCCCAGAUGGGAUUGGCUAGUAGGUGGGGUAACGGCUCACGUAGGCGACGAGCCCUAGCUGGUCUGAGAGGAUGACCAGCCACACUGGAACUGAGACACGGUCCAGACUCCUACGGGAGGCAGCAGUGGGGAAUAUUGCGCAAUGGGCGCAAGCCUGAUACAGCAAUGCCGCGUGUGUGAAGAAGGCCUUCGGGUUGGAAAGUACUUUCAGCGAGGAGGCGUUACUCGCAGAGGAAGCAUCGGCUAACUCCGUGCCAGCCGCCGCGGUAAUUC
rnacentral:rRNA from 1 species